rnacentral:rRNA from 1 species
CCUACGGGGAGCUGCAGGGGGGAAUAUUGCACAAUGGGGGAAACCCUGAUGCAGCGACGCCGCGUGAGCGAAGAAGGAUCUCGGUAUGUAAAGCUCUAUCAGCAGGGAAGAAAAUGACGGUACCUGACUAAGAAGCCCCGGCUAACUACGUGCCAGCAGCCGCGGUAAUACGGAGGGGGCAAGCGUUAUCCGGAUUGACUGGGUGUAAAGGGAGCGCAGGCGGCGCGGUAAGUCUGAUGUGAAAGCCCGGGGCUCAACCCCGGGACUGCCUUGGAAACUGUCGUGCUGGAGUGUCGGAGGGGCAAGUGGCAUUCCUAGUGUCGCUGUUCACUGCGUAGAUAUUAGGAGGCACCCCAGUGGCGCUGGCGGCUUGCUGGACGACACCUGACGCUGAGGCUCGAAAGCGUGGGGAGCAAACCGGAUUAGAUACCCGUGUAGUC